GACGAACGCUGGCGGCGUGCUUAACACAUGCAAGUCGAACGGAAAGGCCCUGCUUUUGUGGGGUGCUCGAGUGGCGAACGGGUGAGUAACACGUGAGUAACCUGCCCUUGACUUUGGGAUAACUUCAGGAAACUGGGGCUAAUACCGGAUAGGAUCUCCUGCUGCAUGGUGGGGGUUGGAAAGUUUCGGCGGUUGGGGAUGGACUCGCGGCUUAUCAGCUUGUUGGUGGGGUAGUGGCUUACCAAGGCUUUGACGGGUAGCCGGCCUGAGAGGGUGACCGGCCACAAUGGGACUGAGGUACGGCCCAGACUCCUACGGGAGGCAGCAGUGGGGAAUAUUGCACAGUGGGCGGAAGCCUGAUGCAGCAACGCCGCGUGCGGGAUGACGGCCUUCGGGUUGUAAACCGCUUUCGCCUGUGACGAAGAGUGAGUGACGGUAAUGGGUAAAGAAGCACCGGCUAACUACGUG
rnacentral:rRNA from 1 species